UACGAAGGGGGCAAGCGUUGUCCGGAAUUACUGGGCGUAAAGCGUGCGCAGGCGGCUUUGCAAGACAGAUGUGAAAUCCCCGGGCUUAACCUGGGAACUGCAUUUGUGACUGCAUGGCUAGAGUGCGGCAGAGGGGGAUGGAAUUCCGCGUGUAGCAGUGAAAUGCGUAGAUAUGCGGAGGAACACCGAUGGCGAAGGCAAUCCCCUGGGCCUGCACUGACGCUCAUGCACGAAAGCGUGGGGAGCGAACAGG
rnacentral:rRNA from 1 species